AUCCAUGUGACGAGUCCCAAAUAGGACGUAACGCAUGUCCUAGAU
rnacentral:hammerhead_ribozyme from 1 species